UUAAAAAGAAAGGGAAUAAAGAAACUGUGUUCAUCCCCAUUUUGCUUUCCUUACGCCGCCUACAGACGGUAAACCCUAUCACUCUCAAAUCUCAACAAAUUCUCGUCGAGAAAAAUAUUGUACAAAGCCUCUGAUUACUCAGCAAAUGCGAGGAUUGUGUGUUGGCGUGCUCUGAGACUCAACAAGGAGACAUACUGCAUCCCUCGAUUUCACUUCAGCAUUUUCUCCUUGUGUACAAGGGUCCUAAAUUUAUCAUUUCCUUACCCUAGUCUUGGUGCAUUUAUUUUAAAAUUCUUUUUAUGAAUCAUAGUUACGUUUUGAUUCCAUUUAGAAUUUGGAUAAUUUUGGUGCAGAUUAAGUUUCUAAGGACUUUGUUGGAUUCAAUUAGGCUUGGAGCAUGGAUAUCUUUGAUUGGAUAUAGAGAAAACUCUCCAGUUCUUUUGGUUCUUUUUUAAGUGUUCUUUUGAACUGUAGAUCAAUAAGCGUUUUUUGAACAUUAGAUGAACAGAGGACCCUUAACUCAAUUUCAGUUAUACGUUUUAAAUCUUGAUUUUGUAGCAGGCCUUCAAGCGAAAAGCAUGUCAAUGGAGUGCUUGAACUUGAUGAAGGGUUGCUGGAAACAAAAACAAUUGUGGAGCUUGAGGAAGAGCUGCUAGAAACAAAGGCAAUAGUUGAGGUCAAUUAAAUAACUAAAUUUGACUAGAUGAAAAAUCGAACAUUUUUUAACUAAGAGGGAGUAUUGGAGCUUGAUAAAGGGCUGCUGGAAACAGAUGCAAUAGUGGUCAAGCUUGAGGAAGAGCUGCUGGAAAUAGAGGAAACGGACAAGUAAAAGAGCGUUUGUAAAUUCAUUAACAAUUUGAGCUCGGUGUGAUAAAUUUUCUUUGUCCUGAAGAGCAGGAACACAUGAUGUUGGUGCGAAGAUGAAGUUAACCAAGUAUUCUAGUGCGGAUGAGAAUGCAAUAAGGAGCUUCUAAGAGAAAAUCUAAGUGAUAUAUAAAUUGUAUAGUCAUUUAGAACCUUUUUUGUACCUUUUUAUUUAAUAUUGUAUACUUUGAUUUCAUGAAAAUUAUUACAUAAGUUAUUUAUAUAAAAAUAUGUUUGGUA